UACGGAGGAGGCAAGCGUUAUCCGGAAUUAUUGGGCGUAAAGCGUCCGUAGAUGGUUUUGUCAGUCUGCUGUCAAAGCACAGGGCUUAACCCUGUAAAGGCAGUGGAAACUACAAGACUAGAGUGCAGUAGGGCAGAGGGAAUUCCCAGUGUAGCGGUGAAAUGCGUAGAGAUUGGGAAGAACAUCCGUGGCGAAAGCGCUCUGCUGGACUGCAACUGACAUUGAGGGACGAAAGCUAGGGGAGCGAAUGGG
rnacentral:rRNA from 1 species